CUUCUACUGAACACAAAGACAGACUGGGCAUAUAAAACUGUGCCGCAGAAGAAAGCGUGUAUGGCGUUUAAAGACCAGAAAAGUGCUUGGCCAAGAGGAAAGGUACUGGGAGGUUCUAGCUCAAUCAACUAUAUGCACUACAUGAGGGGGAGUCGCCAUGACUUUGAUGGAUGGGCCAAAGAGGGGUGUCAGGGUUGGAACUACAAAGACGUCCUACCUUACUUUAUUAAAUCAGAGGAUAUCCAAAUACCAAGCCUUAAAACUUCAGCCUAUCACGGAGUAGGCGGCCCUCUUACCGUCAGUGACGGAGCGUCGACCUCGCUAGUUGACAGAGUGUACAGACGGGGUAUGGAGGAACUAGGAUACCAGGCAGUGGACUGUAAUGGGGAGUCACAAACAGGCUUCUGCUAUUGUCAAGAAACUGUAAAAAGUGGAGAAAGAUGGAGUACAGCCAAAGCUUUUCUAAGACCCGCCAUGAAUCGUCAAAAUCUCCACGUGUCCACAAACUCUUAUGUUACAAAGAUACUGAUAGAGAACAAAAAAGCAGUCGGGAUUUCUUUCAUAAAAGACAAUGUAAAACACGUGGUCAAGGCCAACAGAGAGGUGAUUAUUUCUGGUGGUGCCGUGAAUAGCCCUCAGCUUCUUAUGCUGUCAGGAAUCGGACCAAAGGAACACCUGUCAUCCAUGAAGAUUCCCCUAGUGGCUGAUUUACCGGUCGGAAACAACCUAGAAGACCAUCUCAUGAUAAUGAUGGUAUUCAUGGACAACUCCUCCGCAGCGUUUAACCCUUCAACAUGGUCUUUCUUGCAGUAUCAGUUAUUCAGAUCGGGUCCAUUUAGUAAAGUUCAUCUCGAGGGAGAUGUAUUUUUACAAGACGAUGCAAGAGCACCUCCAUAUUUGCAAUUUACAUUUUAUAGCAUUCAAGUUCCACCUUUUAUGUUAGACCCCAUGGCAGAAAUGGUUAAUUUGGAUCCAAAGAUUGCAAAAGGAACAUACGACUUUUAUAAACGCAUAUCAGAGGAAGUUGGAGGGUCAUUCUUUGUAGAAAAUAUUCUUCUCCACCCAAAGAGUAGAGGGACUAUUCGACUUCAAAGUACAGAUCCUUUUGAUCCGCCUCUCAUUGAUCCAAACUAUUUAGAUCACCCAGAUGACAUUAAAGAUUUAUUAAAAGGAAUUCAUGCGACACUUCGGUUAGCAAAUACCACGGCAUUUCGGGCUGUAGGGGCCUCUCCAUCAGAUCCUUAUGAAGAGUACUUUCCACCCUGUAACUCUUUGUCCUUCCCAUCAGAUGAAUACUGGAUUUGUAGGAUAAGACAUUAUACGUACCAUUUUGAUCACCCGACUUCUACGUGCAGAAUGGGGAACAAUGAUGGCGUAACAGCUGUCGUCGACCCACAACUCAGGGUGAAAGGUGUAAAGAAUUUGCGUGUAGUGGACGCUUCCGUCAUGCGCCAUGUAACUUCCGGAAAUACCAACGCUCCCACUAUUAUGAUAGCGGAAAAGGCUGCAGAUUUGAUUCGAGAAAUAGAUAGUGUGAAAGAUGUACGAAAUAAAGUGGAGCAUUUGUAAAGAUAAAAUUUAGAAAUUGUCUUAUUGAAGGCACAUGUUAAAGACUGUAUGAUUAGAAAACAUGCAUCAAAUGAGAUGAUAUAUACAUGUAUGUGUAUGAUAGCGUUAGUAUUUUCUUUUUAGAUUCUUUCAAUUGAAAUUCAAAUAUUAAGAUGUUUCAUCAAAGAUUGUUAGUCCUUAAAAGAAAUUGUAAUUAGUGGCUGUGUUUGGAAUAUUGAAUUACAAAAUUUAAAGGAUGUGUUUUUACUAUCAAAGUAUUGUGUUAUUUAACACAGAUAAAGUUAAGGGAAGUUCUUAGAUCGCUCAAAGAGGCUGUUGUCGACUCCAGGAGGGGCAAUUAAUAAGUUUUUCAAAAUAAGACCAGGUAUAUAAAAGAUUCUCGCUGAACGAGAGAGUUUUUUUCCAAAUCAUAUUGUGCUACAUUAUAGUACUAUCGUAACAUUUAAUGAAAUAGAUUGACAAUAUAGAAAGGGUUGUGCUUGUAUAAAUCUUAUUUUAAAACUAAAACGCGAAAAGACACGUAUUUGUAUUACAAAGUAUAUUUGUAUAUAUUUACUUAACUGGAUGAAAAUUGAGCAUUGUUUAACAGUUUAAAGCAGAUUACACUCUAGCAUAAGACCUUUGUUCAUGUUUGAGACUUUAUCCAUGCAACUCGCACUAGUGAUUCGGUUUUGCAGGCAAGUAGCUUUUCAUUUCGGGACAGAUUUAUCCGAAAUAUACUGACAAGGAAAAACAAGUGGGAAAAGAAUGGCAGCCCCCAUCAAACCACUCCCGCUGCUUUUUCCUAUUUCGGAGAUGUUUAUUUAAAUUGGUAUUGUGGUUUUUAUGCAUACACCACUAGAACCCUGCUUCAAACCAGACAAAACACCUAUUUGCUUUAGCAUAUACAAACAUGAAAGCUAUAUAAAUGUUUAGGUCUCGUAGAGAAACUUUAUUAUGGUCUCACCACAAAGAAUGGCGACGGAAUAUGCAAAGGCAUUGGAAUGAUUUUGAUGCAGCUGAACUACUAUUGCAGCAAAAAGACAUACAUUUAGAACACGAGGACAAUUGUUAUUUUAUUUAACAACUUCAACAACUUAAAAAAAACAGUCAAGAAAUUAUUGGCAGUGUAUCUAACAACGAAAGUUAUUCUGAGAAUUUACAGUUUGCAGAGAAAAUGAAUUAGGAACACUUUGUGAUAUACGCCAUAAUAAUUACUUCACUGAUGAAACUGAUGAUAAUCCAGACGAAAACAGCCAUUAAAAAAACUAAUACAAUUGAAGAAGAUUUGCGUAAAUGGACUUUUAUGUAUUGUAUGAUAAUAUUAUAUAAUUAUAAUAU
rnacentral:misc_RNA from 1 species